GUUCAGCUGACGAGUCCUAAAUAGGACGAAACGCGCGUCCUGAAU
rnacentral:hammerhead_ribozyme from 1 species